rnacentral:rRNA from 1 species
UGGGAAUGUGCCCUUUGGUUCGGAACAACUCCGGGAAACUGGAGCUAAUACCGGAUAUGCCCUUCGGGGAAGAUUUAUCGCCAAAGGAUCGGCCCGCGUCUGAUUAGCUUGUUGGUGAGGUAAUGGCUCACCAAGGCGACGAUCAGUAGCUGGUCUGAGAGGAUGAUCAGCCACACUGGGACUGAGACACGGCCCAGACUCCUACGGGAGGCAG